rnacentral:tRNA from 1 species
GAGAGAGGCCCUGAGGCAAUAGGAACUGCUAAUUUCUACCGCCCGUGGUUAAAAUCCACGGCUCACUCG